rnacentral:tRNA from 1 species
GGGCUCGUAGCUCAUCUGGCAGAGCGCCGCUCUUGCAAAGCGGAGGUGACCGGUUCGAGUCCGGUCGGGUCCACCA